UGGGGGAUAUUGCACAAUGGGCGAAAGCCUGAUGCAGCGACGCCGCGUGGGGGAUGAAGGCCUUCGGGUUGUAAACUUCUUUUGCUCUGAACAAGGCAUGCCUUUGGGGUGUGUUGAGUGUAGGGGUUGAUUAGCGCCGUCUAACUACGUGCCAGCAGCCGCGGUAAUACGUAGGGCGCGAGCGUUGUCCGGAAUUAUUGGGCGUAAAGGGCUUGUAGGUGGCUGGUUGCGUCUGUCGUGAAAGCUCAUGGCUUAACUGUGGGUUUGCGGUGGGUACGGGCUGGCUUGAGUGCAGUAGGGGAGGCUGGAAUUCCUGGUGUAGCGGUGGAAUGCGCAGAUAUCAGGAGGAAUACCGGUGGCGAAGGCGGGUCUCUGGGCUGUUACUGACGCUGAGGAGCGAAAGCGUGGGGAGCGAACAGG
rnacentral:rRNA from 1 species